rnacentral:rRNA from 1 species
AGAACGAACGCUGGCGGCAGGCUUAACACAUGCAAGUCGAGCGCCUCGCAAGAGGAGCGGCAGACGGGUGAGUAACGCGUGGGAAUCUACCGUGCCCUGCGGAAUAGCUCCGGGAAACUGGAAUUAAUACCGCAUACGCCCAUCUUUGGUAGACAUUGGUGGGGAAAGAUUUAUCGGGGUAUGAUGAGCCCGCGUUGGAUUAGCUAGUUGGUGGGUAAAGCCUACAAGGCACGAUCCAUAGCUGGUCUGAGAGGAUGAUCAGCCACAUUGGGACUGAGACACGGCCCAAACUCCUACGGGAGGCAGCAGUGGGAAUAUUGGACAAUGGGCGCAAGCCUGAUCCAGCCAUGCGCGUGAGUGAUGAAGGCCUAGGGUGUAAAGCUACUUCACCGGUGAAGAUAAUGAACGGUAACCGGAGAAGAAGCCCGGCUAACUCGUCGCCAGCAGCCGC